CCCCGCCCCACAGCCCUGACUCCUUCCCCGCUGCCAGGGCUCCGAGGGAGCAAUCAGACAAUAAGGGGAAUGUCAUGCCCUUUCCCACCCUGGAGCCCAGCUCUGGGGCCUCAUCAAGUCGAGCAGUGCGGCAGCUGGGACUGGGCUGGAUUCGGAGGUUUGGGGCUCCUUGGUCGUUAGCAUGUGGACAGUGGCUGAAUCAUGGAAUACAUGACGACAUCCUGCAGAGUGAGGCCAAGGAGGGAAGAGGCCCAGAGCAGCACCUGGAGGGGGGUGGGAGAGUCAGAAGAAAGUUCUUCCCUCUCUCCCAGAACCCCCUCACCGUCUUCGAUGACCAGGCUGAGGUUGGGCUCAAGUGGAUAAAGCACAUAACCUAUCAAGAAACAGGGAGAGGAGAGGAAGGAAGAGUAUGACCUGGACUGGACAGUGUGAACUCUCAAGGUGUGUGUCCCCUGCCACCUGUGGACUUUGUGAUUUUAUACAUUGGGAAAUGGAAGUCAGGGAGCAGAGCAGCUUGGCUGGAAGAAGAAGGAAUAGCAGGACUCUGUUGAACCCUAAGGCAUCCAGCCCAAUUGGAGCCUUGCAGGCUCCAGCUUGCCUCAGUCAUCCAUUCCACAACAUGUAGAGAGCCCCUACUGGCUAGAAGACACGGAGGCAGGCCUUAUGGUGAUGGCAAGAUGCAGAAGCCACCCUCAAGAUGCUGGAGAGGAGAGAAGACAAGCCCACGGUUAAACUCGGGACCCUCAGGGCUGUAUAGUAAGAACCAUAACAGAGGAAAGUGACACAGAGGGAGGCCUGGGAAUCCUUCAAGGGAGU